GGUUCCGUAGUGUAGUGGUUUUUCACGUUCGCUUCCAGCGAAAGGUCCGGGUUUGAUCCCGGGGGACCA